rnacentral:rRNA from 1 species
GAUGAACGCUGGCGGCGUGCUUAACACAUGCAAGUCGAACGGAAAGGCCAGUGCUUGCACUGGUGCUCGAGUGGCGAACGGGUGAGUAACACGUGGGUGAUCUGCCCUGCACUUUGGGAUAAGCCUGGGAAACUGGGUCUAAUACCAGAUAGGACCAUGCUUUGGAUGGUGUGGUGGAAAGUUUUUUCGGUGUGGGAUGAGCUUGCGGCCUAUCAGCUUGUUGGUGGGGUAAUGGCCUACCAAGGCGUCGACGGGUAGCCGGCCUGAGAGGGUGUACGGCCACAUUGGGACUGAGAUACGGCCCAGACUCCUACGGGAGGCAGCAGUAGGGAAUAUUGCACAAUGGGCGCAAGCCUGAUGCAGCGACGCCGCGUGGGGGAUGACGGCCUUCGGGUUGUAAACUCCUUUCGCAACUGACGAAGCUUUUUGUGACGGUAGGUUGAGAAGAAGCACCGGCUAACUACGUG